CCAAACAGCUCCAUCUUCUGAUUGGCUGUUAAAAAGUCUGUUGCACAUGCUCUGAUUGUUAUUAUUUAUGUUUGUUUUUUGAAAUCAUGGCCAGCCCACCUCCCAACCAGGACUCAAAUAUGUCCACCACCUCCACCACCACCAUCACCAACCAAGAAACACCUGUUAUGGCAGUAAGUACCAUUUUUUACUUCGAACUCUGACUCGAUAAUUAACUAAUUUUUGAUUUCAUCUUUUUCUUUCUGCUUUUCAGUUAUCUUUACAGUUUCCCUCACCAAUUGACCUGGACGAUCCUUCUUCAGGACCCAGUACUGGUCGUCGUCCUGGAGGCGUCCCACCACUACCUCCUCCACCCAGCUCCUCUGAAUCCUCUUCAUCAUCAUCAGAGGAUGACCAGGUAUGUUUAUUGAUAUUGUAACUUAACAAUUUUCUUUCUGUUUUAUGAAUUAAUAACAUUUUUGUUUCUUUCAGGAAUCUGAUCACGAAGCUUUUGAGCUUCCACCCGUACCUCCACAAAAGACCUGUGGCUCAGGGUUGCCCAAAGCUCAGGUGGGCCAGGCCGAUUACCCGGUGAGCAAAAUCCUCAAACGAGGAUAUGCUUACAAUUCAAAGCUUAAGCGCCGGGUAAUCGGCAAUCUGGUGGAGCAUGAGCCCCUCAUCUAUUUUGAUGAGGAGCUUGAUUGUCCUGACCUGGAGCCUGAAAGUUAUGUAAGUAUCUUUUCGCUGAAAAUUCAUCGGAUUUCGCAUAUUUAUUAUCUAGACAUUCAUUUAUAUUAAUUCAUGUUUUCUUUUUCGUUUCAGGGUCCAAUUGCUACUGGCAAAAAAGGCCACCGGUGGGCUCAUCUUGCUCCAGCCGAACUUGCGGCGGAGGAAGAGAAGAUGAAGAAGAGGAAGAAAUGGGGCAUCGACCCCAAAACACCCUGCCGUUUUUGUGGCAAAACAUUUGCUCGCAAGGAUGGGGCCGAUGUCCAUGAGCGGGACACCUGCACUGAGCCUGGUGCCCCUAAUCAUGUUUGUGGCUCGGACCCCGAAAAGCCCUGUCCAACCCCUUGCAUUGGUCCUCGAGUCUGGGUUCGAUCGGCAGGCAAGCCAAGAGGAAGGAAGGCCAAAAAUCCUUAAACCCCCUUAAACCCCCUUAUUUUUU